AUACGGAGGGUGCGAGCGUUAUUCGGAAUCACUGGGCGUAAAGGACGCGUAGGCGGGUUGGCAAGUCAGAUGUGAAAUCCUACAGCUUAACUGUAGAACUGCAUUUGAAACUGCUAACCUAGAGUAUGGGAGGGGGAGAUGGAAUUAGUGGUGUAGGGGUAAAAUCCGUAGAUAUCACUAGGAAUACCGAAAGCGAAGGCGAUCUCCUGGAACAUAACUGACGCUAAGGCGUGAAAGCGUGGGGAGCAAACAGGAUUAGAUACCCUUGUAGUCC
rnacentral:rRNA from 1 species